rnacentral:ncRNA from 1 species
GCAUUCGAAACGGGAGAACCGGCCACGCCGGUGCCGAAGGAGCAACCGCCCCGGAAACUCUCAGGCGACAGGGACCGUUUCGACACU